GAGGAGGAUUUCCGUAGUAUCCCUGGGCUGGAAUAGAAUUCCUUGAUUUGACGUCAAGCAUUGGCAACUGCAGAAUACAUUGUCUCGGGGAUUAUACGAUUAUUAAAGCACAUACAUCGAAGUUUUAAUAUAGGCAGGUUGCGUGCACACGCACCUCUUUGCCCAGGUGUACUUGAUGACACAUAUGCCCUUUGUAUGGUUGGUAAACAGAAGGUGGCCACGUUGCUGCAUUUGAUUGUUGCAUACAAGGAUGAGACUGAGUAUAAUGUGCUUGCACAUGCCAUCAACUCACUACUCUUCCUAUUCUAAUUAAUUUUUGUUGUUCCUAAACUUGAUCUUGUUCUAAUGAUCAUUUAUCAUGCAGUCUCUUCUAGCUUUUCAGAAAUCCGUCCCUUGCAAGUGAGGUGGCUGGGAUGCCAAGAGUGGGGAGGGUCACCUGAAUACACUGUUAA